GGACCUUGCCCAAGGGCCCUUAGUGAAUUUCCGGUCAGGGUGGGAUUUAAACUGAGGAUCCUUUGGUCACAAGCCCAAUGCUUUUAACCACUUGAUCACCACCUCCCCUAAACAGAGUUAAAAUACAUG